rnacentral:rRNA from 1 species
AGCAGCCGCGGUAAUUCCAGCUCCAAUAGCGUAUAUUAAAGUUGUUGCAGUUAAAAAGCUCGUAGUUGAAUUUCGGGAUCAAUAUGUUGGUCGUGCCCUGGUACGUACUGGCGUCAUUGGUUUCUACCUUCUGAAGAACCUCGAUGUCAUUAAUUUGGUGUCUUGGGGAAUCAGGACUGUUACUUUGAAAAAUUAGAGUGUUUAAAGCAAGCUCACGCUUGAAUACAUUAGCAUGGAAUAAUGAAAUAGGACGUUUGAUUCUAUUUGUUGGUUUCUAGGAUCGACGUAAUGAUUAAUAGGGAUAGUUGGGGGCAUUAGUAUUCAAUUGUCAGAGGUGAAAUUCUUGGAUUUAUUGAAGACUAACUACUGCGAAAGCAUUUGCCAAGGAUGUUUUCAUUAAUCAAGAACGAAAGUUAGGGGAUCGAAGACGAUCAGAUACCGUCGUAGUCUUAACCAUAAACUAAUGCCGACUAGGGAUCGGAU